UCGAUUCCUGGAGAAAUAGAUCCCUCUUAAUUCAGGGAGAUGAUUGAAAAUAUCCGUUGGGAUUUCACCCGAUAGCUCAUUGAAUCUUAGAUCAAUUGUAUACAGUGAAGAUCUGCUGAAGAUGCUGGAGGGCACGAAACCAUGAAGCUGGUUGUAACUGAUAUUGAUUGUUUGCAAUGAGGAUAUAUUCAAUAAUGAUAAAGGUAAAUUGCCUAAGAAAAAGUUGGCUUCUAGCAGCAAGCUUUUGAGUUUAGGCAAGGAACCUAAGCUUGGAGGAAUGUCUCCGGUGAAUGAGUUGAAUCCAAAGUCAAGAUACUCCAGGUGAAGCAAGUUAGCUAACUCAUUAGGGAGCGAUCCUUGGAAAGUGUUGUUUCUAAUGGAUAGGAAAGCAAGGAAUGAAAGGUUUCCAAUCUCUGAGGGGAUGUAGCCAGAAAGACUCAUGUGAGAAAGAUUCAAGCCACUCACUCGGUAGCGCGGAGCACCACAAGAGACACCAAUCCAGCUGCACACAGAGG
rnacentral:lncRNA from 1 species